rnacentral:lncRNA from 1 species
UGUACAAUUAUAUAUGUACUGCACAAGUCUUUCUGGGCUUUUAUAAAUUAUUGGAAAAGGCACUAACAAUUUUUAAGGAGAAUAUCUAAUAUGUUCUUCAAAAAUUCUGAAAUAUCUUGCACGCUCCUACUUUUCUUUUGUUUCAAAUAUAAACUUCGUAUAUUUCUCUGUUAUUCAAAAAUAACUUUGCUAGCUGUUAAUACCUAGUAAGUCUUCUCGGGUUAAAUCUAGGUAAAAUUUUUACCGGAGUUAAAAAGAGAACUUUUGUCCCUAACUUAAUGGCAAAUAAGAAAAGUUAGUGAUGAUAAAAAGGUAUAUUUGAAAAAAAAAAAGUCAAAAUAUUUUUUUUUUACCCCCAAUCUAAGGCCAAAUAACAACAGUUGGUGGCAGUAGAAGCACAUAUUUGAAAAGACAAAAUAGUAAUUUUACAGAAAUAACGACUGCUCUUAAGAGUUUAUUAAUAGAAUUUAACACUAAAAGUAUAUUUAAAAUAACUUGAAACGUUGAAGUGUAGUUUUAAUAUUAGCUUUCUAAAAAAAAUAAAUAAGAAAGUCAAACACUUUUCAAUAAUAUAUAAGUAAUUGUCCCUAAUUUUUAAUUAAACCAUAUAUAGGUUAC